rnacentral:lncRNA from 1 species
UGAUUGUGGAUGGGCAAGAGCUGCGUACCAACCCAGCAGCCUCAAUGGAGAGCAUCCAGAAGUUCCUGGGUUUGAUGAUGAUAAGGGAUUUUGGUGCCAGGGACUUGAAGGUGGUAAGACUCGCUGUCUAGGCCGGAGCAAAGGCCGGAGGUAUCCAGAUAUGGACACUGAGGAAACGUGGGAAGAAUAAGUACGUGAGAGCCAGUUGGGAGAAACAAAGUUGUGCAGGCCAAGGGCAUAAAGCCCAAUCUCGAAGGCGCAAAGGUGCAGGUUGCGGUGAGGACCCUGGUGGCCCCCUGAGGAAGAUGGAUGUGUGAAAAUGGAAGUGCUGCUGUUGCCCCCUGCCUUGAUCAGCACUGUCUUCGCCAGCUCGAAGUAGAAGUGUGCAGCUGCCUCUGAUGGCUGAUUGGUCUUCGCCCGGGCUCCUCCACUGGCACUGGCCCGGCGACUUCCACUGGAGGAUGAGGAGCCCAGGGAGUCCGAAGAAGAGCUGCUAAUGCUGUCACUGUCCUGACCUCGACCCCAGGAGGUGGGGGCCCAGCCCCCUCGAAGUGGUCUCCGGCUUAAGGUGGGGGAACUAUCCGAUGUUGUUUCAGGGGCACUGCUGUCAAUGCUGGCCAUGCCUAACCCCCAAGAGAAGUCAGUCUCAGAAGUCAGGAGUCCCAGAUGUUAAGACUCCAACCUUCAGGAUUAUCCUUCCCUCUAUGCUAGCCCACAGGCUAUCCUACCUGUGUGCUUCUUCUUAGGCCGUCCUGGGGACCCCCAUCCCCGUCCAUUAUAGCCUCCACGACUGCCAAGUGCCAAGCGGCUAGGAACCUUCCCUUCUGGCCUUGGGGUCAAAGCUGCCUCAGAUGGAAGACCCUCACAGGGG